CCUACGGGAGGCAGCAGUGGGGAAUAUUGGACAAUGGGCGAAAGCCUGAUCCAGCCAUGCCGCGUGUGUGAAGAAGGCCUUCGGGUUGUAAAGCACUUUCAGUGGGGAAGAAAGCCUUGGGGCUAAUACCCUCGAGGAAGGACAUCACCCACAGAAGAAGCACCGGCUAACUCCGUGCCAGCAGCCGCGGUAAUACGGGGGGUGCGAGCGUUAAUCGGAAUUACUGGGCGUAAAGCGCGCGUAGGCGGUCUGAUAAGCCGGUUGUGAAAGCCCCGGGCUCAACCUGGGAACGGCAUCCGGAACUGUCAGGCUAGAGUGCAGUAGAGGAAGGUAGAAUUCCCGGUGUAGCGGUGAAAUGCGUAGAGAUCGGGAGGAAUACCAGUGGCGAAGGCGGCCUUCUGGACUGACACUGACGCUGAGGUGCGAAAGCGUGGGUAGCAAACAGGAUUAGAUACCCCAGUAGUC
rnacentral:rRNA from 1 species